UUUUUUUUCUUGGCUUUUCUUCUUCUUCUUCCGUGUGCGUGUGUGUAAUAUGUAAUAUGUAGUUGUAGUCGUCCGUGGUGUAGUGUGUGUGUGCAGUAUAUAAUAUAUAAUAUCUAGUAGUAGUAGUGUGUAGUAUAUAAUAUAUAAUAGUAGUGUAGUAGUAAUGUGCAUAUAUAUAAUAUAUAAUAGUAGUGGUAAUGUAGUAGUAGUAUCUCGGUUUCCGUGUGUGUGUAUAUGUAGUAUGUUUGUGUGUGCAGAUCUAUAAUGUAGUAGUAGUAGUGUCUGUAGUAUAUCAUAUAUAGUAGUGUGUGUGCAGAUGUUUUUGUAGUUUUGUGUAGCAUGUAGUGGUGGUCUCUUUUUUUUCUUUUGUUUUUCCGUGUGUAGUGUAUAUAUAU
rnacentral:lncRNA from 1 species